rnacentral:rRNA from 1 species
GACGGAGGAUGCAAGUGUUAUCCGGAAUCACUGGGCGUAAAGCGUCUGUAGGUGGUUCGAAAAGUCCACUGUUAAAAAUUGAGGCUUAACUUCAAAGAUGCCGUGGAAACUUUCAAAACUAGAGUAUGGUAGGGGUAGAGGGAAUUUCCAGUGGAGCGGUGAAAUGCGUAGAUAUUGGAAAGACCACCGAUGGCGAAGGCACUCUACUGGGCCAUUACUGACACUGAGAGACGAAAGCUAGGGGAGCAAAUGGG